CUUACAAGGAAACCGUAGGGAACAGUGACAGUAAUCGCAGCCAAGAAAUGAUGGCGACUGAAAGCUAGGAGAAUCGCUAGCUCAUAAUGGCCAAGGAGAUCUGCAUUUAAGUUACCUAUGUGAGCUUGUCUGGAUAGCGAGACUAAACUUUUACAAAGCUCCUGUUUGAUCACAGUGUUUAACUUGCAGUGUCGCAGUAAGGGUUUGUGGUGAGUUGG